rnacentral:rRNA from 1 species
GAGUUUGAUCAUGGCUCAGAUUGAACGCUGGCGGAAUGCUUUACACAUGCAAGUCGAACGGCAGCACGGACUUCGGUCUGGUGGCGAGUGGCGAACGGGUGAGUAACAUAUCGGAACGUAUCCAAUAAUGGGGGAUAACUAAUCGAAAGGUUGGCUAAUACCGCAUACGCCCUACGGGGGAAAGCUAGGGACCUUCGGGCCUGGCGUUAAUGGAGCGGCCGAUAUCUGAUUAGCUAGUUGGUGGGGUAAAGGCCCACCAAGGCGACGAUCAGUAGCUGGUCUGAGAGGACGACCAGCCACACUGGAACUGAGACACGGUCCAGACUCCU